UACAGAGGGUGCAAACGUUGUUCGGAAUUACUGGGCGUAAAGCGCGUGCAGGCGGCCUUGCAAGUCGGACGUGAAAUCCCACGGCUCAACCGUGGAAGUGCAUUCGAAACUGCGAGGCUAGAGUCCUGGAGAGGAAAGUGGAAUACUCGGUGUAGAGGUGAAAUUCGUAGAUAUCGAGUGGAACACCGGUGGCGAAGGCGGCUUUCUGGACAGGUACUGACGCUGAGACGCGAAAGCAUGGGGAGCGAACGGG
rnacentral:rRNA from 1 species